UGGGGAAUAUUGCACAAUGGGCGCAAGCCUGAUGCAGCCAUGCCGCGUGUAUGAAGAAGGCCUUCGGGUUGUAAAGUACUUUCAGCGGGGAGGAAGGGAGUAAAGUUAAUACCUCUGCUCAUUGACGUUACCCGCAGAAGAAGCACCGGCUAACUCCGUGCCAGCAGCCGCGGUAAUACGGAGGGUGCAAGCGUUAAUCGGAAUUACUGGGCGUAAAGCGCACGCAGGCGGUUUGUUAAGUCUGAUGUGAAAUCCCCGGGCUCAACCUGGGAACUGCAUCUGAUACUGGCAAGCUUGAGUCUCGUAGAGGGGGGUAGAAUUCCCGGUGUAGCGGUGAAAUGCGUAGAGAUCUGGAGGAAUACCGGUGGCGAAGGCGGCAACCUGGACGAAGACUGACGCUCAGGUGCGAAAGCGUGGGGAGCAAACAGG
rnacentral:rRNA from 1 species